GCCUUGCCCUGAGUCCGGCCCUAACCAACCAUUGCCUUGCCCAGAGCCCGUAGGCUUCUGGCACUGAAGCGGGUUGCACAGUG
rnacentral:snoRNA from 1 species